rnacentral:lncRNA from 1 species
CUGAUUUCUCUAUGUAAGUAGCUAUGGCUGUCCUGGAACUUGUUCUGUUGACCAGACUGUCCCAGAACUCAAGAGAUGUGCCUGCCUCUGGCUCAGAGUGCUGAAAUAAAAGGUAUGUGCCAAUACAGAUUUUUUUAAGAUUUAUUUUUAUUACUUUUAAUGUGUGUGUGUGUGUGUGUGUGUGUGUGUGCUGCCUAACCUGGGUGCUGUGACUCAAACACAGGUCCUCCAGAGGAGCAGCCCAUGCUUUUAA